GUCUCGUAGUAGCAAAUACGUUGGAUUGCAAAUCCAAAAAGGUGGAGGGUACCUCCUCCCGGGGCUU
rnacentral:tRNA from 1 species